UACGUAGGUGACCAGCGUUGUCCGGAUUUACUGGGCGUAAAGAGCGCGCAGGCGGUCGUUCAAGUCGAGUGUGAAAGCCCCCGGCUCAACUGGGGAGGGUCACUCGAUACUGAUCGACUUGAAGGCAGGAGAGGGAAGCGGAAUUCCCGGUGUAGUGGUGAAAUGCGUAGAUAUCGGGAGGAACACCAGUGGCGAAGGCGGCUUCCUGGCCUGUUCUUGACGCUGAGGCGCGAAAGCGUGGGGAGCGAACCGG
rnacentral:rRNA from 1 species